CCUCCUUAAAAAAUAAUCGUUUAGGAUAGGCGUUCACACGAAUAACUUGCUUUUACCUAAAUCAUUUCUUUACAGAUUUGAGAUUACGGAGCGUUCUUUAACAUUUUUAUAAGUUCAAUCAAGUCGCAUCAUAGUGUCUUUAUUUUUAUAAUUUAGAUAUGAAUGAUGUGCAAAUGUCACCAAACCCGUCAUGUUUUAGAACAUAAGUUUGGUGUACAUACUGCAAAGUAAUUUUGGCGAAUGACAAUAGAUACUUGAGGAACAUUAAUCAUUAAGUUGUUUGAUGUAAUAUGGUCAAGUAAUUAAGCGCAUACGGUGGAUGCA
rnacentral:misc_RNA from 1 species